GUGCUUGCUUCGGCAGCACAUAUACUAAAAUUGGAACGAUACAGAGAAGAUUAGCAUGACCCCUGCAAAAAAGAAAAAAAGAAAAAUGUAAAGAUGGGAUUUUU